GAGAAUCCCUUCCACCGAAUAUCUAAGGUUUCCUGAGGAAGGCUCGUCCGCUCAGGGUUAGUCGGGACCUAAGCCGAGGCCGAUAGGCGUAGGCGAUGGACAACAGGUAGAGAUUCCUGUACCAGUGCUAAUUGUUUAACCGAUGGGGUGACACAGAAGGAUAGGGAAUCGCACGAAUGGAAAUGUGCGUCCAAGCAGUGAGUGUGAGAAGUAGGCAAAUCCGCUUCUCGCGAAGCAUGAGCUGUGAUGGGGAAGGAAAUAAAGUACGGAAGUUCCUGAUUUCACGCUGUCAAGAAAAGCCUCUAGGAAGAGUAGUACUGCCCGUACCGCAAACCGACACAGGUAGAUGAGGAGAGAAUCCUAAGGUGAGCGAGAGAACUCUCGUUAAGGAACUCGGCAAAAUGACCCCGUAACUUCGGGAGAAGGGGUGCUCUAUUAGGGUGCAAGCCCGAGAGAGCCGCAGUGAAUAGGCCCAGGCGACUGUUUAGCAAAAACACAGGUCUCUGCAAAACCGUAAGGUGACGUAUAGGGGCUGACGCCUGCCCGGUGCUGGAAGGUUAAGAGGAGUGCUUAGCUUCGGCGAAGGUACGAAUUGAAGCCCCAGUAAACGGCGGCCGUAACUAUAACGGUCCUAAGGUAGCGAAAUUCCUUGUCGGGUAAGUUCCGACCCGCACGAAAGGCGCAACGAUCUGGGCACUGUCUCAACGAGAGACUCGGUGAAAUUAUAGUACCUGUGAAGAUGCAGGUUACCCGCGACAGGACGGAAAGACCCCGUGGAGCUUUACUGCAACCUGAUAUGGAAUGUUUGUACCGCUUGUACAGGAUAGGUAGGAGCCGAAGAGACGUGUGCGCUAGCAUACGAGGAGGCAAUGGUGGGAUACUACCCUGGCUGUAUGACCAUUCUAACCCGCCACGCUUAGCGCGUGGGGAGACAGUGUCAGGUGGGCAGUUUGACUGGGGCGGUCGCCUCCUAAAGAG
rnacentral:rRNA from 1 species